GCAAGUCACAUAGCCAAGCAGGAAAGUUAGUGGGAAUAAUGGCAAAGUCACCUGGCAAAGGACAGGAUCGUAGGGAUUCUUCACUAAGAACGAGUCUUGAAUGCAAUCUACCUCAUUCACUGCAAAAUUGUUUCUAAUGGGAUGAGGAGAACCUAAAUUGUCAUCAGAAAAAAAGAGAGUGGAGUCUCUUGGAGAGCGGAACUAAGCGAGCAUUUGGAAGCGGAAGAGCCCCGGCCUCGUCAGUAACACUGCCAUCUUGGUCUUGAAGGAAGAACGGUUAUUAAGAAGCGAAAACAUCUCUGAAAUGAAUACACCCUCUUUAGAUUCCGUUGCAUUUUUCUUUUUCUUAUAUUUUGUGCAAGAUUCAGGAUGGUCUCAUGAUCUCUUGCCAGCUCUUUUGAUUAACAAGAUGGUGUGGGGUGGGGGGAAUGCUUUUUUGGAGCACACGUCAUACAUUUUCCUAGAAGAAUUGCACCGUACACGGUGACUUUGGGCCAUUCGCUUUACCUCUCCAAAUCCUCAACGAGUUCUGUAAAACAGGACGACCUCCAUUACAGGAUUUUAUGAGGAUUGAAUGAGAUAAUACGUGUGAAAUACUUGGACGAUAUCUGGCAUAUGGAAAAUGCCCAAUACGGACUAUUAUCGAAUUGAAUUUUAGGACCCAAGAAGGAAGUUCGCAAGUAACUAUGAGGCUUAAUUUGUUUUUAAUUACUCAUGAGCAGAUUCUUUUGAGUGAGAGAAGCAUGAUUAUUGUUCUAAAGUUCCAAAUUUAUUUUUAAAGGUCCCUCUAGGCUGAAUUUGGUCUUCUUUAAAAUUUAGUAAAAGGGCCCUUUACGGGCAUCACAUGACAAUAUAGCAGAUUAAUUUUUAUUUAGAAAGAAAAAAGUGUAUCAUCAGUCUGACAUAGUGAGACA